UCUCGUACAUAAGAAGUUAAAAGAAUAAUGGAAAAAAAUACAUGCCUACUACAUUAUUAAAUGUACUUGUAUAUUUAUACACCAAGCCCGUAGGAGAAUAGCAGACGUUUGUUGAUAAUAAAAUAAUUAAAUAUGAGUCAAUCAUAAAAAGAACUCAAAUCACAUGCGGUUAUUUACCUAUUUGUUCUGCUGUGUACAUUCGUAGUAGGGAAGUCUUACCAUACAAAAUUAUUGCUGUAACUAUACCAAUCAAAAGGAGGCAGAAGCAAAUGUAUUCCCAAACUCUUUUAGAAAAGAGAUGAUUCCAUUGAAAAAGGGAAGCAUAAAUGGUUUCCUUUCUUUCACUGUGUAAUAGAAUCCAUUCCCGGUCUCAUGCCCAACAACAACAAUAAAAGGUGAUUGGAUAUAUAUGGG
rnacentral:lncRNA from 1 species